rnacentral:lncRNA from 1 species
AUUUUCCAUUAUCUUUGGAUAUAUAAAAGUCCGUAUUUUUCAACGUGAAACAAAAGUCCGUAGACAUGGCUGGCCUUCAAUAUUACUUCUUCCCAACUGAUUUCUUUUACCCUAAGCCACCUACAAUCAAUGCAGAGAGUACCAAUCAUCAAAGCCAAGCUCUUUUGGUUAAAAUUCCAAAUGAAGAAACAAAGAGUGAUCAUGGGGAGACAAAAAACGUGAGUCUUCAUAACAACACACACAAUUCCAAGCCCGUUAAGGUGCCAUCGUUGACGAUGAGUCUACGUAUUUUAACAUACCAAAAAGGGCAAGGAACGGUCGAGACAUCGUCAAAUGAUUUCAUGCAUGCUCAAGAUUUCUAGUCGAUUGCCCGACUACCUAUUCGAGAUGCUUGCUUUGGUAUAAUAGAUUGAAUAGGAAUAAAGAAUAGACAUAUGUGCGAUGCUGGUUUGUUGUCUCUCCUGUUUUGUUCAGAAUCACACAAGUUUCUUUCUUUCCCUUUUUUUUUUUUUUUUUUUUUCUUUUUUAAAUAAGAGCUCCUAAGUCAAUUAAUUCAAUUGAGUGAGACCCAAUGGAACCCUUUUAUUGGCUGAGAAAUAAAAGCUGAUAAAAAUCUUGCAUUGUGUUGGGAAAAAUAAUUUUCCACUGAACAAAUAUCCAACAUAGAGAAAUAAAAGUUGAACAAUGAGCCAAAAAGAGACACAAACUUUAUUGAUUGUGGGUAUUGAGAGAAUGACAUUGACAUAUUAUUGAUUGAAAAAUUAAAUAAAAACUGAACGGUCAAUGUUUAGA